rnacentral:antisense_RNA from 1 species
GGGUGCUCUUGGCUUUUCUGCCAUGAGCAUAGCAGCGUUCAGCUUGUGGUAGAAAAGACAAAAGCCCCGUUAAUUUUUCAAUCAACGAGGCUUAAAUCAUGAUACUCAGCAGUUCUGAUUCUAGUCUCUAUUUAACCGAGAGGCAAGAUGUAUGCUACGAAA